ACGCUCGACACCUACUGGAGGCAGCAGUGAGGAAUAUUGGUCAAUGGGCGCUAGCCUGAACCAGCCAAGUAGCGUGAAGGAUGAAGGCUCUAUGGGUCGUAAACUUUCUUUUAUAUAAGAAUAAAGUGCAGUAUGUAUACUGUUUUGUAUGUAUUAUAUGAAUAAGGAUCGGCUAACUCCGUGCCAGCAGCCGCGGUAAUCUGAGGCGGCUGGACGAAGGC
rnacentral:rRNA from 1 species